rnacentral:rRNA from 1 species
UACGUAGGGUGCAAGCGUUAAUCGGAAUUACUGGGCGUAAAGCGUGCGCAGGCGGUUAUGUAAGUCAGAUGUGAAAUGCCCGGGCUUAACCUGGGAACUGCAUUUGUGACUGCAUGGCUAGAGUUUGGCAGAGGGGGGUAGAAUUCCACGUGUAGCAGUGAAAUGCGUAGAUAUGUGGAGGAACACCGAUGGCGAAGGCAGCCCCCUGGGUCAAGACUGACGCUGAGACGCGAAAGCGUGGGGAGCAAACAGG